rnacentral:misc_RNA from 1 species
AAUCAAAACAAGGAAGUUAUACAUCAUCGCAAAACGCAGUUGAGGAGGAUAGUGGUGUGUCUUUUCGGCAUCCUAUUUGCGCCUUCUUAAGACAUCCUUCUUAUAUUGGAGCCUAAUGAGUUGCCCAUUAAAAGCCCUUCUGUCCCUCUUUUGCAAUGGAGCUCAGAGCAAUCUACAGUAUUCCUCGUGUACCCGCAACAACUAAGAACUCAUGUAGGCCGGAAUCAUAAUACAUAAAAGCAAGAAAGCCAAAUUUAAAAAAGGUUCUUUCUCAGUUGAAGCUCAAAUCUAUCGAAAUAACCAAAAAUGAAAACUAUCUACAGUCCACCCAGAGGUGGGGGAGAGCAACCCACAAACGGACCAAGGAAGGAAG